GGCUCGGUAGCUCAGCCCGGUAGAGCGGCAGCAUGGUAAGUUGUCGGACUUAUAUGCCUCGCGUAUAAGGGCGAAUCGUGGGUUCAAUUCCCACCCGAGCCU
rnacentral:tRNA from 1 species